rnacentral:rRNA from 1 species
UGAAUUGGGCGGCCUACCUGCAAGUCGAGCGGAAACGAUGGGAGCUUGCUCCCAGGCGUCGAGCGGCGGACGGGUGAGUAAUGCAUAGGAAUCUGCCCGGUAGUGGGGGAUAACCUGGGGAAACUCGGGCUAAUACCGCAUACGUCCUACGGGAGAAAGCAGGGGAUCUUCGGACCUUGCGCUAUCGGAUGAGCCUAUGUCGGAUUAGCUAGUUGGUGAGGUAAUGGCUCACCAAGGCCGCGAUCCGUAGCUGGUCUGAGAGGAUGAUCAGCCACAUCGGGACUGAGACACGGCCCGAACUCCUACGGGAGGCAGCAGUGGGGAAUAUUGGACAAUGGGCGAAAGCCUGAUCCAGCCAUGCCGCGUGUGUGAAGAAGGCCCUCGGGUUGUAAAGCACUUUCAGUGAGGAAGAAGGCUUGCGGGUUAAUACCCCGCAGGAAGGACAUCACUCACAGAAGAAGCACCGGCUAACUCCGUGCCAGCAGCCGCGGUAAUACGGAGGGUGCGAGCGUUAAUCGGAAUUACUGGGCGUAAAGCGCGCGUAGGCGGCUUGAUAAGCCGGUUGUGAAAGCCCCGGGCUCAACCUGGGAACGG